rnacentral:rRNA from 1 species
GACAGAGGGUGCAAACGUUGUUCGGAAUUACUGGGCGUAAAGCGUGCGCAGGCGGCCUUGCAAGUCGGGCGUGAAAUCCCGGGGCUCAACCUCGGAACUGCCUUUGAUACUGCAAAUCUCGAGUCCGAUAGAGGUGGGUGGAAUUCCUAGUGUAGAGGUGAAAUUCGUAGAUAUUAGGAAGAACACCGGUGGCGAAGGCGGCCCACUGGAUCGGUACUGACGCUGAGGUGCGAAAGCGUGGGGAGCAAACAGG